CUAAAGAUGGCAGCAAAAGAGAAGGAGUCAGGACCAGGUAUAGGCUGCCUUUCUUCCGACAAGGGGAUGGAAGGCAGCUCUUCAAGCUGAAGAAACUGACACAGCUACCUCAUUCUGCUGGGUAGAUUAGACAGUUUCCAUGAAAGCAGAACCAAGGGAUUACGUCUAUCUGAUGGAUGCUACCUAACUGAACAGUUCCUGGAGAGUCAUUCUCUGUAAUAUAUUAUAAAGUCUCAGCCUGGAGAGCUGAUUUAGGCACAAUAUGUCUUGUGAAUGCUGUUUCUUUUGGACAGUAGGCACCCAUGCUACAUCCCAAGAAUUAGUAUGAAUUGCCGUAUUAUUUGCAAUGUUAUUUUGCCCCCUUGCUCUGAGCAAUGCCUUCCUCUUACCCAUUGCUGAGUUUGUAACAGUGUCACUCCUUG